AUUGAACGCUGGCGGCAGGCCUAACACAUGCAAGUCGAGCGAGUGGGGGACGGGUGCGUAGUGUCUGGGAAACUGCCUGAUGGAGGGGGAUAACUACUGGAACCGGUAGCUAAUACCGCAUACCAUCAUAUGUGCCCAGAUGGGAUUAGCUAGUAGGUGGGGUAGAGGCUCACCUAGGCGACGCUCCCUAGCUGGUCUGAGAGGAUGACCAGCCACACUGGAACUGAGACACGGCCCAGACUCCUACGGGAGGCAGCAGUGGGGAAUAUGGCACAAUGGGCGCAAGCCUGAUGCAGCCAUGCCGCGUGUGUGAAGAAGGCCUUCGGGUUGUAAAGCACUUUCAGCGAGGAGGCGUUACUCGCAGAAGAAGCACCGGCUAACUCCGUGCCAGCCGCCGCGGUAAUAC
rnacentral:rRNA from 1 species